AGUGAACGCUGGCGGUAGGCCUAACACAUGCAAGUCGAACGGCAGCACAGUAAGAGCUUGCUCUUACGGGUGGCGAGUGGCGGACGGGUGAGGAAUACAUCGGAAUCUACUUUUUCGUGGGGGAUAACGUAGGGAAACUUACGCUAAUACCGCAUACGACCUACGGGUGAAAGCAGGGGAUCUUCGGACCUUGCGCGAUUGAAUGAGCCGAUGUCGGAUUAGCUAGUUGGCGGGGUAAAGGCCCACCAAGGCGACGAUCCGUAGCUGGUCUGAGAGGAUGAUCAGCCACACUGGAACUGAGACAAGGUCCCGACUCCUAAGGGAGGCAGCAGUGGGGAAUAUUGGACAAAGGGCGCAAGCCUGAUCCAGCCAUACCGCGUGGGUGAAGAAGGCCUUCGGGUUGUAAAGCCCUUUUGUUGGGAAAGAAAAGCAGCAGGUUAAUACCCCGCUGUUCUGACGGUACCCAAAGAAUAAGCACCGGCUAACUUCGUG
rnacentral:rRNA from 1 species